rnacentral:rRNA from 1 species
GAUGAACGCUGACAGAAUGCUUAACACAUGCAAGUCUACUUGAUUCUCCUUCGGGAGAUGAUGGUGGCGGACGGGUGAGUAACGCGUAAACAAUCUGCCCUUCAGUCUGGGAUAACAGUUGGAAACGACUGCUAAUACCGGAUAUUAUGAAAUUUCCGCAUGGAGGUCUCAUGAAAGCUAUAUGCGCUGGAGGAGGAGUUUGCGUUCCAUUAGCUAGUUGGUGAGGUAACGGCUCACCAAGGCGACGAUGGAUAGCCGGCCUGAGAGGGUGAUCGGCCACAAGGGGACUGAGACACGGCCCUUACUCCUACGGGAGGCAGCAGUGGGGAAUAUUGGACAAUGGACCGAAAGUCUGAUCCAGCAAUUCUGUGUGCACGAUGAAGGUCUUCGGAUUGUAAAGUGCUUUCAGUUGGGAAGAAGAAAGUGACGGUACCAACAGAAGAAGCGACGGCUAAAUAUGUGCCAGCAGCCGCAGUAACAC